AUUGAACGCUGGCGGCAGGCCUAACACAUGCAAGUCGAACGGCAGCGGGGGGUAGCUUGCUACCCCGCCGGCGAGUGGCGGACGGGUGAGUAAUGCCUGGGGAGCUGCCCAAUCGAGGGGGAUACCAGUUGGAAACGACUGCUAAUACCGCAUACGCCCUGAGGGGGAAAGGUGGGGAUCUUCGGACCUACCGCGAUUGGAUGCACCCAGGUGGGAUUAGCUAGUUGGUGAGGUAACGGCUCACCAAGGCGACGAUCUCUAGCUGGUCUGAGAGGAUGACCAGCCACACUGGAACUGAGACACGGUCCAGACUCCUACGGGAGGCAGCAGUGGGGAAUAUUGCACAAUGGGGGAAACCCUGAUGCAGCCAUGCCGCGUGUGUGAAGAAGGCCUUAGGGUUGUAAAGCACUUUCAGCGAGGAGGAAAGGUGGCUAGCUAAUACCUAGUUGCUGUGACGUUACUCGCAGAAGAAGCACCGGCUAACUCCGUGCCAGCAGCCGCCGUAA
rnacentral:rRNA from 1 species